rnacentral:rRNA from 1 species
UACGGGGGGGCAAGCGUUGUUCGGAAUUACUGGGCGUAAAGGGCCAGUAGGCGGCCAACUAAGUCCGACGUGAAAUCCCAAGGCUUAACCUUGGAACUGCGUCGGAUACUGGAUGGCUUGAAUUCGGGAGAGGGAUGCAGAAUUCCCGGUGUAGUGGUGAAAUGCGUAGAUAUCGGGAGGAACACCAGUGGCGAAGGCGACUUCCUGGCCUGUUCUUGACGCUGAGGCGCGAAAGCUAGGGGAGCAAACGGG